CGCGAACGGCUCAUUAUAACAGCUAUAAUUUACUUGAAUUUGACAACCCUACUUGGAUACCGGUGGUAAUUCUAGCGCUAAUACAUGCACCAAAGCUCCGACCGCGAGGGAAGAGCGCAUUUAUUAGAACAAAACCACACGGCUUCGGCCGUCCAAUGUUGACUCAGAAUAACUAAGCUGAUCGCAUGGUCUUGCACCGGCGACGUUUCUUUCAAGUAUCUGCCUUAUCAACUUUCGAUGGUAGUGUAUCUGACUACCAUGGUGAUGACGGGUAACGGAGGAUAAGGGUUCGACUCCGGAGAAGGGGCCUGAGAAAUGGCCACUACGUCUAAGGAUGGCAGCAGGCGCGCAAAUUACCCACUCUCAGUACGAGGAGGUAGUGACGAGAAAUAACAAGACCGUUCUCACAAGAGGCCGGUCAUUGGAAUGGGUACAAUUUAAACCCUUUAACGAGUAUCUAUGAGAGGGCAAGUCUGGUGCCGGCAGCCGCGGUAAUUCCAGCU
rnacentral:rRNA from 1 species